rnacentral:rRNA from 1 species
GUGGUCCUACGGGGGGCAGCAGUGGGGGAUAUUGCACAAUGGGGGGAACCCUGAUGCAGCGACGCCGCGUGGGUGAAGGAGCGUUUCGGCGCGUAAAGCCCUAUCGGCAGGGAAGAAGAUAACGGUACCUGACCAAGAAGCCCCGGCUAACUACGUGCCAGCAGCCGCGGUAAUACGUAGGGGGCAAGCGUUAUCCGGAUUUACUGGGUGUAAAGGGGGCGCAGACGGCAAUGCAAGCCAUGCGUGAAA